UUAAUUAUUUGUUUUAUUCUCAGAGUUUCAAAAAAUUCAAGAGUUUAAGGUCUUCUUUGGUAGGCGCCGAAGCAUCAAUCCCGCCCUGGGAUUGCCUACCAAAGUAGACGCUAUAAGAUAAAUAAACAAUGGGUUUUGGGAGUUUUUACACUCUGUAAUGAUCCCUCCGCUGGUUCACCAACGGAGA
rnacentral:misc_RNA from 1 species